rnacentral:rRNA from 1 species
GACAGAGGUCCCAAGCGUUAGGCGGAAUCACUGGGCUUAAAGCGUGUGUAGGCGGCUUUGUAAGUCCCUUGUGAAAUCCCACGGCUCAACCGUGGAACUGCUUGGUAUACUGCUUAUCUUGGGCCAUCUAGGGGCGAGCGGAACAAACGGUGGAGCGGUGAAAUGCGUAGAUAUCGUUUGGAACGCCAAUGGUGAAAACAGCUCGCUGGGGAUGUGCCGACGCUGAGAUACGAAAGCCAGGGGAGCGAACGGG